rnacentral:rRNA from 1 species
GGAUUAGAUACCCUGGUAGUCCACGCAGUAAACGUUGUAUACUAGGUGUAUGGGGUAUCGAUCCCCUGUGUGCCGUAGCAAAUGCGUUAAGUAUACCGCCUGGGGAGUAUGCCGGCAACGGUGAAACUCAAAGGAAUUGACGGGGGCCCGCACAAGCGGUGGGGCAUGUGGUUUAAUUCGAUGAUACGCGAAGAACCUUACCUGGGUUUGACAUGCGAGCUACUGGAUAAGAGAUUAUCCUUCCCUUCGGGGUGCUUGUACAGGUGCUGCAUGGCUGUCGUCAGCUCGUGUCG